AGCGAACGUUAGCGGCGGGCCUAACACAUGCAAGUCGAGCGAGAAAGGGGCUUCGGCUCCGAGUAAAGCGGCAGACGGGUGAGGAACACGUAGGUAACCUUCCUUUCAGCGGAGGACAACGGUCCGAAAGGACCGCUAAUACUGCAUACGUUCCCCGGGAUUCCGAUUCUGGGGAGGAAAGCCUCGCAAGGGGCACUGAAAGAGGGGCCUGCGUCGCAUCAGCUAGUUGGUGGGGUAACGGCCUACCAAGGCGAAGACGCGUAGCUGGUCUGAGAGGAUGAUCAGCCACACUGGGACUGAGACACGGCCCAGACUCCUACGGGAGGCAGCAGUGGGGAAUAUUGGACAAUGGGCGCAAGCCUGAUCCAGCCACGCCGCGUGAGUGAUGAAGGCCU
rnacentral:rRNA from 1 species